UGAGGAGGGUGUGUGGGAAGAAUGGAG
rnacentral:piRNA from 1 species